CCUGGUGGUUCAGAUGGUAAAGCAUCUGCCUACAGUGCAGGAGACCAGGGUUCAAUCCCUGGGUCAGGA
rnacentral:tRNA from 1 species